rnacentral:lncRNA from 1 species
CUGAGAUCUGAGCCCCUCCAAGGCCAGAGCUGCCUCUGUGGUCCCUCCACGGGGCCUGUACGCAGGUGACCUGCUGUAUGACCCUGCGGAAGCCCCUGACCCCAUCCGAGUUCCACGUUCUCUCUGGAUGAGCCUGGCAUUCCUAGGCCUGCCGGACGAGGCAGGAAGCCUGAGGCACAGCGGCCGGCUUUGACCCAUGGCCGGCCCUGGUGAAAGGCCUGUGUGGACUCACCUGGCCCCACCACAGCCCUGGGAGGACCUGCAUUGCAGAAGAGGAAGCCCAGGCCCCCCGGAGGGCAAGGACAUGACCCGGAGCUACCCAGUGGGAAGCAGGGAAGCUGGGAUUUGAACCGGCCAAGCCUGGGCUCUGGGCCACACGAGCUCCUCACACUCAGGGCUCACAGAAGGUGCCCGCUGGCUCCGGGCAGGAAGCUCAGAAUUUCAAACAACACAAGGGCCUCCCCUGAAACACCUGGCCCUCGGCUGCCAGGACAGCCAAGACAGAGGCGGCAUUGACUUCAGGAUGGCCGAGGCCUGGCUGCGCUGGGCGCAGCCCCCGGCAGGUGGUAACGCCAGGACACGUGAUUAAUGAGAACCUGCAGCUGAACAAGAUUCCCUCGUGGUCUGAGGCUCCCUGAAGUCUGAGAAGCUCCACCCAGGGCCAGCUGUGUCCGGAGACGGCAGGAAAACGCUCAAGGCGCUGGUGGGCCGGGACUGGGGGGCACGGAGCCCCCUUGUGCCACCCAGAGAGCAGGACCUGCAGACAAGGUUAACCGAAGGGCCUGCAGCACAGACGUGCCCGAGACACCAGGAGGCCAAGCCAGCACCCUGUCUGCGGCAUUUUCUGCAGGGGGUGCGGGUGUAAGCCCCAGGGCCUCCCCAUUUAUCUUAAGGCAAGGUCAGCCAGUGCCAAAGCAAGGCAGAAAGACCUGCUAUCCGUGGCUGAGACUUCGGGGGCCUCAGCGGCUUAGAGCAGCAAGGUAGGCAUCCUCAAUCUGCUGAAUACCGGACUGCCCCGCACCCUGCUCCUGCUGACACCUGUGGGUCUCACCCACGACUGCCCCGCACCCUGCUCCUGCUGACACCUGUGGGUCUCACCCACGACUGCCCCGCACCCUCCUCCUGUUAACACCUGUGGGUCUCACCCACGACUGCCCUGCACCCUCCUCCUGUUAACACCUAUGGGUCUCACCCACAGCCUGGGGCAUGAAACAGGUGAGGCCACAGUUGGGGGCUGGUAUCUGUCGUGUUAUUAGUCAACUGUGGGCGCUGCCCCUGCUUCUGCCCGUUCCCCAUUCCCGGGGCCCCAGCACCAUCGUCAGACGGAGAGAUCCACCCAGGGCCACGGCCACGCGGACUCUGUGGAAGGUGACGGAUAAAUGACUUCUACAGCGAUCACAUGCCAAAUACGGCAC